UACGGAGGGAGCUAGCGUUAUUCGGAAUUACUGGGCGUAAAGCGCACGUAGGCGGCUUUGUAAGUUAGAGGUGAAAGCCUGGAGCUCAACUCCAGAACUGCCUUUAAGACUGCAUCGCUUGAAUCCAGGAGAGGUGAGUGGAAUUCCGAGUGUAGAGGUGAAAUUCGUAGAUAUUCGGAAGAACACCAGUGGCGAAGGCGGACUCACUGGACUGGUAUUGACGCUGAGGUGCGAAAGCGUGGGGAGCAACAGGG
rnacentral:rRNA from 1 species